CCCGCCCCGCCCCGUCACCCUUUGCUGGGUGCACCAGGACCCCUCACCCACUCCACAUCCUCUGGCUCAGAAACAACACCUUUUCUGCUCCGCUCCCUCCCUAUCCCAGGUUUGAGAACAGGGAAGCGACACCACAAGGUACUUGAUCCACCGGGGGUGAGUGCCCCAGAUUCCCGACUACCAUCAUUUUGAUGCCAACCAUUGCUCAGAGGUCUCAAAUUGGCUGUGAGGUUCAAUGAGUUAAAGCCUGAGGGAGGUUGACCCAGGGCUUGGCACAUUGGCACAUGUGACCAUGAACUCUGAGAAGAGGUCCCUUACCUGGAUUAAACCUAGGGUCUCACUACGUUACCCACGCUGUCCUUGAACUUGAGUACCUCCUGCCUCAGCUUCUGGAGUCGCUGGGAUUGCAGUUGUGCUCCACCACAGCCAGCAAGACCCUGAUCUUCCAGGCCAGGAAACAUCCUCCGAAAGAGACACUCACCCCCAAAGGGAACAGGGAUCCUAAGUGACUUCUCUGAGCUGCGGAAGAGAAGCUGGGGCUCUGAGGGGCCAACUGCCAACAAAGAGAGAGCAGAGGUGGGAUCUGAACCCUGGUCUCCUGCCUCCGCCUGCCGCUGCUCCUUCCAUGCUGUCUUACCUCUCCAACACACUCCUGCUUCCCUCCUACGGAACCCCAGCCUCCAUCUGUCCUUGUUUUCUGCACUUUUAGAGUCUCCACUGAUUAGCAGAGGAUUCAUGGAAAGGUUUAUGGAGAUUCCAGCUUUUGAAUCCCUGAAUGUCGACAUUGAAUCCACACGCAACCAGACUUAAUCAACAGUGUGGGCUCCACCACUCCCCAGGCUGAAUCUGCCAUAUUUCAGAAAAAGCAAGAAAGUUUUUCUUUUUCUUUUUUGGGGGGGGUUGGGCACCACCCAUGGAGGCUGCAGUCCCUCUCCCUCCUCUUUACACCUACAUUGUUCCUCUGGUCUGUGGAGACAAUUCUGGUGAGUGAAGGGAAGAGGGGAUGGGGGAGACAGAAAGAGAGAGAAAAAAUGAGCAAGCUGGAGGCUGUCACUGGGUCAGGGUAGAGCCUUCCAUGGUAGAGGAAUUUGCAGAAACUUCUGCCCCCAAACAUUCUGAAAUAGGAACAAGCAGUAUGACACACAGAAAAAUCCAGCAAUGGAGAUGACAUAAGUCCUGUUCCUGCCCCACAGAAAGCGUAGGAAUUACACUCUUAAUGGUUGUUCCUUCCUCCUCAGCUCUGAGCCUUAAGAGGUCAGGCAGGAGGCUGGGAUCAGAGCUUCCUUGGAUUUUCCAAGUGUUUCAUUCACAUUCUGGCUUUGGGGCGGAGAGACCCCUAAAAAGGGCCAUGAGGGGGAAUCAUGUGGGGAGAAAAAGAAGAACCACACAGGCACCUUGGCUGGGGGAGGGCAUAUUCCUCAGUGAACGUUGUGGCAACAUUAAGAAAACAGGCUUUUUCUGGUGUGUGUGUUUGAAUUUUUUUUUUCCCCAAAGUCAUUCAAAUAACACCUUCUUAUUGUAGAGCAUUUGGAAAGAAGGAGGAAAAUGAUGUCUUCCAGAGGCAAUCAUUUAAAAAUUUGGUAUUUUAAUUUAGAAAGAAAAUAUGCACCUUAAUUUGUGUUUAAUUUUUCCAUGUUUCCUUCCAGUCUUUAUCUAUAUAUAAACACACCAAUGACAACAUGAA